GUGCUUGCUUUGGCAGCACAUAUACCAAAAUUGAAAUAAUACAGAUAAGAUUAGCAUAGGCCCUGCACAAGGAUGACAUGCAAAUUCAUGAAGGGUUCCUAUUUAGA
ensembl:snRNA U6 U6 spliceosomal RNA